GAGUUUGAUCAUGGCUCAGGACGAACGCUGGCGGCGUGCUUAACACAUGCAAGUCGAACGGAAAGGCCCUGCUUUUGUGGGGUGCUCGAGUGGCGAACGGGUGAGUAACGACGUGAGUAACCUGCCCUUGACUUUGGGAUAACUUCAGGAAACUGGGGCUAAUACCGGAUAGGAGCUCCUGCUGCAUGGUGGGGUUGGAAAGUUUCGGCGGUUGGGGAUGGACUCGCGGCUUAUCAGCUUGUUGGUGGGGUAGUGGCUUACCAAGGCUUUGACGGGUAGCCGGCCUGAGAGGGUGACCGGCCACAUUGGGACUGAGAUACGGCCCAGACUCCUACGGGAGGCAGCAGUGGGGGAAUAUUGCACAAUGGGCGGAAGCCUGAUGCAGCAACGCCGCGUGCGGGAUGAC
rnacentral:rRNA from 1 species